GACAGAGGUGCCGAGCGUUAGGCGGAAUCACUGGGCUUAAAGCGUGUGUAGGCGGGCCGUUAAGUGCCCCGUGAAAUCCCCCGGCUCAACCGGGGAACGGCGGGGCAUACUGGCGGCCUUGAGCCACUUAAGGGCAGACGGAACAAGCGGUGGAGCGGUGAAAUGCGUAGAUAUCAUUUGGAACGCCGACGGUGAAAACAGCUCGCUGGGAGUGUCCUGACGCUGAGACGCGAAAGCCAGGGGAGCGAACAGG
rnacentral:rRNA from 1 species